rnacentral:rRNA from 1 species
UGCAGUCGAGCGAACAGAUAAGGAGCUUGCUCCUUUGACGUUAGCGGCGGACGGGUGAGUAACACGUGGGUAACCUACCUAUAAGACUGGAAUAACUCCGGGAAACCGGGGCUAAUGCCGGAUAACAUAUAGAACCGCAUGGUUCUAUAGUGAAAGAUGGUUUUGCUAUCACUUAUAGAUGGACCCGCGCCGUAUUAGCUAGUUGGUAAGGUAAUGGCUUACCAAGGCGACGAUACGUAGCCGACCUGAGAGGGUGAUCGGCCACACUGGAACUGAGACACGGUCCAGACUCCUACGGGAGGCAGCAGUAGGGAAUCUUCCGCAAUGGGCGAAAGCCUGACGGAGCAACGCCGCGUGAGUGAUGAAGGGUUUCGGCUCGUAAAACUCUGUUAUUAGGGAAGAACAUAUGUGUAAGUAACUGUGCACAUCUUGACGGUACCUAAUCAGAAAGCCACGGCUAACUACGUGCCAGCAGCCGCGGUAAUACGUAGGUGGCAAGCGUUAUCCGGAAUUAUUGGGCGUAAAGCGCGCGUAGGCGGUUUCUUAAGUCUGAUGUGAAAGCCCACGGCUCAACCGUGGAGGGUCAUUGGAAACUGGGAAACUUGAGUGCAGAAGAGGAAAGUGGAAUUCCAUGUGUAGCGGUGAAAUGCGCAGAGAUAUGGAGGAACACCAGUGGCGAAGGCGACUUUCUGGUCUGUAACUGACGCUGAUGUGC